GCAGGGCCGCCUCCCAGGACGAGUGGUGCACACACCGAGUCGUCUCGGCCGUCAGACGUGCACCGACGUUCUUCAGUGUCGGCACCCACACGACCCCUUCUAUCACGUCUUGGAGGGUCCGAGCAACAUGGUCCGUCUGCACAAGUCUCGACGCAGCCUCGCAGAUUGAGCCCUGUACAUCCACAGUCAGAUUACUUCGGUGACGAGGCCGGUCCGUGUUCGGCGGCCCCACACCCUACCCCCCCGGCAACGUACUACGGCACGUCAGCGUGGCCUUCUUCUGCUGCACCGUCGUACCACGCAGGUACAAUUAUACAUUUUUUACUACU